rnacentral:rRNA from 4 species
CAAAUGACUCUCGGCAACGGAUAUCUCGGCUCUUGCAUCGAUGAAGAACGUAGCAAAAUGCGAUACCUGGUGUGAAUUGCAGAAUCCCGUGAACCAUCGAGUUUUUGAACGCAAGUUGCGCCUGAGGCCUUGCGGCUGAGGGCACGUCUGCCUGGGCGUCACGC